GGGACGGUUAAGCCGGGUGUCUCCUCCAAAGCCGCCCGGCCGGCAAACGAGGCCUCGCUGAAGAAAGGUUCUACUGCGCCAAGUUGGCCCAUCCCCAAUUCGGGCCUGAAUGUCCUCGUUGCCCUUGACGCCUGGAGCCUCCUCCUCGCCCCCACGCGGCCCAGGGGCUCCCCAGCAGGGAGAGGGACAGAGUCGGGGAGUUGAGGCGAUACCACCGGUGGGCUAGGGGGCCCGUCCGGUUUUACCAUAGACGGGUUGGCAUGAUGGCAACAUGCAAGCUCCUUCACCCAGCCUGGUCCUGCAAAGGAGUGCAGGAGCCUUCAUUAAUGUUGGAGAUUUCAGGAGAAGAGGACAGUGAGUUGGCACCAGAAGCUUCGGAGUGAGGGGGACCACAGGAUGCCCUCAAAUCGUACCGCAGGAAAAGCAGUCUUUUCCUCACAUAUGUCUGGCCAUACGGCUUCAGCAUUCCGUCAGGGCCACAGCCCCGAAGCCCAUAACCAUGGCGCCACCCAGGCCUGCCCUCUAGCCUGGAACCUGCAACACAGCCCUCAUUAUGCCCUUUGAUGUGACACUCAAAACUGAGCCCCUGCUCUUCAAGCCAGACAGGCCCUGGCCUUGGGGCUUUUUCCAUUUCUGAGGCAUGAUUCAGCCCAGGAGACAAGACCAGACACCUUCGUUCAGAGGAAGGAGGGCUGGAUGGUGCAUGGAGAGGAAGAAAAAUAGGAGUGAGAAUGGGGCUGCAGGGUUGGGGGGGGGCGGGAGGAGCAAGCAGAGGGAGCCCACCUGCUCCAGAGCUGCACAGAACACGGCCACCCACUGACCAAUUUAUAUUCCAUGUAGCCAAAUCUAUUGAUUUAAACGUGAAUCCAACUGUGCUUCUAAAUUCCCAGAAAAAUACUGAUAACAUUUCACAUUUAUGUCAUACAAUGUGAGUGUCAAAACACUUUCACACGAAAAACCUUAAAUUUGAGUUGAUUUUUCAGAUAAUUUGCUUUUCUUCUUACAAAGCAGCAUAUGCUUAUUGAGAAAUAUAGGAGAAAAAAUUUUAACGUAAAUUUAAAAAUUGCAAAUAUGUAUGCGUUAUACCACUAGCUAUAACAUUUUCAGCAGAGUUUUGCAUAA